rnacentral:lncRNA from 1 species
UGGUGGUGGCAGCUGUGGAGUGGGGACACGGUGGCUGGGAUGGGGGUGGAGCUAGGGAGUGGGAAGCCGAGGGUCUAUCUCCUGCCCAUGGGCUUUUCCUAUCUGGCCACAUGGUAGAUGAGCCCCUGCUCCUGGCCAGUUCUGCCCUCCUUGCCUCCAUUUCAUUUCAGGAUUCCUGGCCACUCUACCAGCUUGGUGGUGCUGGCCUGUAGUCCCAGCUACUUGAGAGGCUGCAGUGAGCCAAGAUUGUGCCACUGCACUCCAGCCUGGGUGAUGACUCCGUCUCAAAAAAAAGAAAAAGAAAAAGAAAAAAGAAAAGUGCAUUUUAACAAGAUCCCAGGUGAUUUGUAGCACAGGCUGAGUUGGAUUAUCUUUCUGUCACCCAGGCUGGAGUGCAGUGGCAUGAUCUCGGCUUACUGCAACCUCCACUUCCCGGGUUAAAGUGAUC